AGUGAACGCUGGCGGUAGGCCUAACACAUGCCAGUCGAACGGCAGCACAGUAAGAGCUUGCUCUUACGGGUGGCGAGUGGCGGACGGGUGAGGAAUACAUCGGAAUCUACUUUUUCGUGGGGGAUAACGUAGGGAAACUUACGCUAAUACCGCAUACGACCUACGGGUGAAAGCAGGGGAUCUUCGGACCUUGCGCGAUUGAAUGAGCCGAGGUCGGAUUAGCUAGUUGGCAGGGUAAAGGCCCACCAAGGCGACGAUCCGUAGCUGGUCUGAGAGGAUGAUCAGCCACACGGGAACGGAGACACGGUCCAGACCCCUAGGGGAGGCAGCAGUGGGAAACAUUGGACAAUGGGCGCAAGCCUGAUCCAGCCAUACCGCGUGGGUGAAGAAGGCCUCCGGGUGGUAAAGCCCUUUUGUUGGGAAAGAAAAGCAGCAGGUUAAUACCCCGCUGUUCUGACGGUACCCAAAGAAUAAGCACCGGCUAACUUCGU
rnacentral:rRNA from 1 species